GUAGGAUUUCCCGAAAGCGUUCUCCACUUCCUUUCCUCUCUAUCCUCCGCCUCAAUUUCCUUUCUCCUCUAUUCCACCACCUCCAUUAUUCUUGUUCCUUUUUCUUUGUUUUUGAUUCUUGUCCACCUUUGGGUCAUAAAUCUUCCGCAUCAAUGGACAGUGAGGCGAUAUAACAGCUCACAAAGAUGUGAAUCCCAGUGGAGGUUUGGAAUUCUCGCAGAUCUUUUUGGUGGGAUUGAACCAUGCCUCUCCUUCUAAAGGUUUGAGGAAUCAACCUGCCGAGUCGGGGCAUUUCUCUGAAGAACCUUCUGGAGCUUGGUAGAGCCAGGAAUGACUUUUAUUUUCUGUGCACCAAGUGUAACAACUACUGUUCCUAUUAUGAACACACCGGUUCCUCCCAUACUACUUGCUACUCUUCAACAUGUUAUCCUACUUUCUCCUAUACUCAAUUGUGAAAAAUUUUAGUUGAAUGUAAAUUUAUAGCUACAUUAUGA